AGAGUUUGAUCCUGGCUCAGGACGAACGCUGGCGGCGUUCCUAAUACAUGCAAGUAGAACGCUGAAGAGAGGAGCUUGCUCUUCUUGGAUGAGUUGCGAACGGGUGAGUAACGCGUAGGUAACCUGCCUUGUAGCGGGGGAUAACUAUUGGAAACGAUAGCUAAUACCGCAUAACAAUGGAUGACACAUGUCAUUUAUUUGAAAGGGGCAAUUGUUCCACUACAAGAUGGACCUGCGUUGUAUUAGCUAGUAGGUGAGGUAAUGGCUCACCUAGGCGACGAUACAUAGCCGACCUGAGAGGGUGAUCGGCCACACUGGGACUGAGACACGGCCCAGACUCCUACGGGAGGCAGCAGUAGGGAAUCUUCGGCAAUGGGGGCAACCCUGACCGAGCAACGCCGCGUGAGUGAAGAAGGUUUUCGGAUCGUAAAGCUCUGUUGUAAGUCAAGAACGGGUGUGAGAGUGGAAAGUUCACACUGUGACAGUAGCUUACCAGAAAGGGACGGCUAACUACGUGCCAGCAGCCGCGGUAAUACGUAGGUCCCGAGCGUUGUCCGGAUUUAUUGGGCGUAAAGCGAGCGCAGGCGGUUUGAUAAGUCUGAAGUUAAAGGCUGUGGCUCAACCAUAGUUCGCUUUGGAAACUGUCAAACUUGAGUGCAGAAGGGGAGAGUGGAAUUCCAUGUGUAGCGGUGAAAUGCGUAGAUAUAUGAGGAACACCGGUGGCGAAAGCGGCUCUCUGGUCUGUAACUGACGCUGAGGCUCGAAAGCGUGGGGAGCGAACAGGAUUAGAUACCCUGGUAGUCCACGCCGUAAACGAUGAGUGCUAGGUGUUGGAUCCUUUCCGGGAUUCAGUGCCGCAGCUAACGCAUUAAGCACUCCGCCUGGGGAGUACGACCGCAAGGUUGAAACUCAAAGGAAUUGACGGGGGCCCGCACAAGCGGUGAGCAUGUGGUUUAAUUCGAAGCAACGCGAAGAACCUUACCAGGUCUUGACAUCCCGAUGCUAUUUCUAGAGAUAGAAAGUUACUUCGGUACAUCGGUGACAGGUGGUGCAUGGUUGUCGUCAGCUCGUGUCGUGAGAUGUUGGGUUAAGUCCCGCAACGAGCGCAACCCCUAUUGUUAGUUGCCAUCAUUCAGUUGGGCACUCUAGCGAGACUGCCGGUAAUAAACCGGAGGAAGGUGGGGAUGACGUCAAAUCAUCAUGCCCCUUAUGACCUGGGCUACACACGUGCUACAAUGGUUGGUACAACGAGUUGCGAGUCGGUGACGGCGAGCUAAUCUCUUAAAGCCAAUCUCAGUUCGGAUUGUAGGCUGCAACUCGCCUACAUGAAGUCGGAAUCGCUAGUAAUCGCGGAUCAGCACGCCGCGGUGAAUACGUUCCCGGGCCUUGUACACACCGCCCGUCACACCACGAGAGUUUGUAACACCCGAAGUCGGUGAGGUAACCUUUUGGAGCCAGCCGCCUAAGGUGGGACAGAUGAUUGGGGUGAAGUCGUAACAAGGUA
rnacentral:rRNA from 1 species